CAGGAAGCAUCAGAUAGCUCCGUGCGUCUCUGAGCCAUCAGUCAACGCGCCAAGUCUGGCCUUCACUCCUGACUUGGCCCCAGCUCCUGGCAGAGGAGAGCCUCCGGAGGGGGGAGGGCCUCCAGCCUCACACAGACUUAAAGGGACAAAACCUAUCACGUUGCUUCUCCAAGGAGGACUUGGGAGUUGGCUUUAAGUGUCCCUUCUCUUUUCUUUGACCCCCUUGUAGACAGUCUGUGCCCCCAGAUUGCUGAGAUGCCUGGGCAAUGAGAAGCAGAGGGCAGGACUCCACCUGAGGUUGUCCUUGGGAAAUGGCCUCUGUGAAGCCAGGCUUGACUUUGCAUUCCAGCAUGUCUGGCUCUUGGCACACUUGUCACUCCUGGCCCUGGCUGAGUUAUCCAGAUGCUCACGUUUAUCAUCACGUUACAGUAUGUGACCCACGUGACUUGUGGGUACAGAGAGUCCUCUCCCUAGCAACUCCAGCCUAACCUAGAGUGGGUCAGAUCCCCCCAAAGUUAGGAGGGGUUUGAUUCUGUAAGACUUCAAAACUCAGAGAGUCUGAACCCUAACAAAAACUCGUGGUUGGUCUUCUGAGAAGAUAGCAAGAAGGAAAACAUAAUCUAAUAUCAGCAGUAAAGUAAAAGCAAAUAAGAAACGAACGUCUUCAACUAUACACCUGAAAUUGUAACACAAUACUGUAAAUCAACUAUACUCCAAUAAAAAUUUUUUUAAAAUGAUGCA
ensembl:lncRNA